GGGUGUAUGACAGAGUGGUUUAUCGUAGCUGGUUGCUAACUAGCCGUACCGAAAGGUACCGUAGGUUCGAAUCCUACUACACCCGCCA
rnacentral:tRNA from 1 species